rnacentral:rRNA from 1 species
CCUACGGGAGUCAGCAGUGGGGAAUUUUGGACAAUGGGCGCAAGCCUGAUCCAGCCAUGCCGCGUGCGGGAAGAAGGCCUUCGGGUUGUAAACCGCUUUUGUCAGGGAAGAAAAGGUUCUGGCUAAUACCUGGGACUCAUGACGGUACCUGAAGAAUAAGCACCGGCUAACUACGUGCCAGCAGCCGCGGUAAUACGUAGGGUGCAAGCGUUAAUCGGAAUUACUGGGCGUAAAGCGUGCGCAGGCGGUUAUGCAAGACAGAGGUGAAAUCCCCGGGCUCAACCUGGGAACUGCCUUUGUGACUGCAUAGCUAGAGUACGGUAGAGGGGGAUGGAAUUCCGCGUGUAGCAGUGAAAUGCGUAGAUAUGCGGAGGAACACCGAUGGCGAAGGCAAUCCCCUGGACCUGUACUGACGCUCAUGCACGAAAGCGUGGGGAGCAAACAGGAUUAGAUACCCUGGUAGUCCACGCCCUAAACGAUGUCAACUGGUUGUUGGGAGGGUUUCUUCUCAGUAACGUAGCUAACGCGUGAAGUUGACCGCCUGGGGAGUACGGCCGCAAGGUUGAAACUUAAUGAAUUGACCGGNUGNGAGNGCGAGACGACGACGAGGGAGGAGG